AGGGAAAGGUGAAAAGCACCCCGGAAGGGGAGUGAAAUAGAACCUGAAACCGUGUGCUUACAAGUAGUCAGAGCCCGUUAAUGGGUGAUGGCGUGCCUUUUGUAGAAUGAACCGGCGAGUUACGAUUUGAUGCAAGGUUAAGCAGUAAAUGUGGAGCCGUAGCGAAAGCGAGUCUGAAUAGGGCGUUUAGUAUUUGGUCGUAGACCCGAAACCAGGUGAUCUACCCUUGGUCAGGUUGAAGUUCAGGUAACACUGAAUGGAGGACCGAACCGACUUACGUUGAAAAGUGAGCGGAUGAACUGAGGGUAGCGGAGAAAUUCCAAUCGAACCUGGAGAUAGCUGGUUCUCUCCGAAAUAGCUUUAGGGCUAGCCUCAAGUGAUGAUUAUUGGAGGUAGAGCACUGUUUGGACGAGGGGCCCCUCUCGGGUUACCGAAUUCAGACAAACUCCGAAUGCCAAUUAAUUUAACUUGGGAGUCAGAACAUGGGUGAUAAGGUCCGUGUUCGAAAGGGAAACAGCCCAGACCACCAGCUAAGGUCCCAAAAUAUAUGUUAAGUGGAAAAGGAUGUGGCGUUGCCCAGACAACUAGGAUGUUGGCUUAGAAGCAGCCAUCAUUUAAAGAGUGCGUAAUAGCUCACUAGUCGAGUGACACUGCGCCGAAAAUGUACCGGGGCUAAACAUAUUACCGAAGCUGUGGAUUGUCCUUUGGACAAUGGUAGGAGAGCGUUCUAAGGGCGUUGAAGCAUGAUCGUAAGGACAUGUGGAGCGCUUAGAAGUGAGAAUGCCGGUGUGAGUAGCGAAAGACGGGUGAGAAUCCCGUCCACCGAUUGACUAAGGUUUCCAGAGGAAGGCUCGUCCGCUCUGGGUUAGUCGGGUCCUAAGCUGAGGCCGACAGGCGUAGGCGAUGGAUAACAGGUUGAUAUUCCUGUACCACCUAUAAUCGUUUUAAUCGAUGGGGGGAC
rnacentral:rRNA from 1 species